rnacentral:rRNA from 1 species
CGAGUGAAGAGGGAAAAGCUCAAAUUUUGAAUCUGGCGUCCUUGACGUCCGAGUUGUAAUCUAGAGAAGUGUUUUCCGUAGCGGACCGUGCACAAGUCUCCUGGAAUGGGGCGUCAUAGAGGGUGAGAAUCCCGUGUAUGGCAUGGACUACCGUUACUCUGUGAUACACUCUCAACGAGUCGAGUUGUUUGGGAAUGCAGCUCUAAUUGGGUGGUAAAUGCCAUCUAAAGCUAAAUAUUGGCGAGAGACCGAUAGCGAACAAGUACCGUGAGGGAAAGAUGAAAAGCACUUUGGAAAGAGAGUGAAACAGUACGUGAAAUUGUUGAAAGGGAAACGCUCGAAGUCAGACACACCCUUGGGGACUCCACCUUGCUUCUGCUUGGUUUACUUCACCUUGGGUGGGUCAACAUUAGUAUUGGUCAGAGGGGAAAGACUUGGGGAAGGUAGCAGCAUUCGUGCUGUGUUAUAGCCUCUUGUUGUAUACUCUGACUGGAACUAAGGACCGCAGCGCGCCUUACGGCCGGGCUUGCCCACGUACGCGCUUAGGAUGUUGGCA